AUGGAGCUCAACGUUCAGCUUCGUGCCACCGAUGGUGACCCUCUUCCUAAUCCCACUCGCUAUCGUCAUCUUGUUGGCAGUCUUGUCUAUCUUGCUGUUACGCGUCCUGACAUCUCCUAUCCUGUUCACAUCGUGAGUCAGUUUGUUUCAGCCCCCACCUCUGUCCACUACAAUCAUCUCCUCCGUGUUCUACCAUAUCUUCGUGGCACGAUCUCUCAGCACCUUUUCUUUCCCCGCUCCAGCUCUCUUGAGCUCCAGGCCUACUCUGAUGCUACCUGGGCUAGUGAUCCCUCCAUCGAUGCUCGUUGUCUGCUUAUUGUGUCUUUCUUGGUGGCUCUCUUAUUGCCUGGAAGACAAAGAAGCAGACAGCAGUUUCUUGCUCGAGUAUAG
rnacentral:rRNA from 1 species